GUGGGGAAUCUUCCGCAAUGGGCGAAAGCCUGACGGAGCAACGCCGCGUGAGUGAAGACGGCCUUCGGGUUGUAAAGCUCUGUUAUAUGGGACGAACGUAUCUAUGGCCAAUACCCAUAGAUAGUGACGGUACCGUAAGAGAAAGCCACGGCUAACUACGUGCCAGCAGCCGCGGUAAUACGUAGGUGGCAAGCGUUGUCCGGAAUUAUUGGGCGUAAAGGGCGCGCAGGCGGCCUGUCAAGUCUGUCUUAAAAGUGCGGGGCUCAACCCCGUGAUGGGACGGAAACUGGCAGGCUGGAGUGUCGGAGAGGAAAGCAGAAUUCCUAGUGUAGCGGUGAAAUGCGUAGAUAUUAGGAGGAAUACCAGUGGCGAAAGCGGCUUUCUGGACGACAACUGACGCUGAGGCGCGAAAGCCAGGGGAGCAAACGGGAUUAGAAACCCGAGUAGUCC
rnacentral:rRNA from 1 species